CACACACAUUCUACUGUAGGCCUCUUCACU
rnacentral:piRNA from 1 species